GGGAAUGUGGCUUAGUGGUAAAGUGCUUGCCUGGCAUGCAUGUAGCCUUGGGUUUUAUUCCUC
rnacentral:tRNA from 1 species